rnacentral:ncRNA from 16 species
CAUAUUAUGAAUUUUUAUGGUGUAAUUUCACAUUACGUAAAAGGGAAGCUUGGUGUAAAUCCAGCACGGUCCCGCCACUGUAAGAGAGAGUAUAUCAUUAUAUGCCACUGUUGUUUAUCAAUGGGAAGGCAAUGAUGUACUAUGAUCUCAAGUCAGGAGACCUACCAUAAAAACUUAUACAAUU